UAAUUGCCAUAAUUUUCUUUAUUUUCGGCGGUACAUGUUGGUGUCGUAACUUCCUUUUCGAAUAUGGCAGGCUUUGUGAUUUCGGCAGUUAGAACCGCCGAUAUAUUCUUUUAUUAAUUAAAGAAAAACUUAGUUUAAGCAAAUCUAGCUUAGCAAGUAGAGUGCACAAGAGUGAGUUUUCUCCUGCGGUGAUGCCUCUUCAGAGUUCAAAGCUUCGAUUGCGAUCUGCGUUCUCACUUCUAGAUUUUUAGAUCAGUUGCGGCAUGGAAGCCCGACGCAGAGGUUUUAGAUCGAAUGCUCCAUAUGGAAGAGUGAUUAGUGUUGCUGCGUACGAGAAAGUAUGAGUGAUGUGAAUGAUGAACCCUAAUCUCUUGUCGCCCUUCAUCUUCCGCAGCUAUCGUUCAUCUCGUCGUUGUUUCUCAUCCCCUCGCGCCACCAAAUUAGAUCUGCCAAAAUUUUUUACGGCCUCUUUGAUUGGGAAUUCAUCGUGAAAUGGUUCUGCACUUUGAUUUCUCUGCUUCUUUUCUUCCUUCUUAAUACAUUUCAUUGAUUGUAAUUAUGCAGAUUUCGAUUUUUAAUUUUGCAGUUUAUCUCCUUUUAUUUUUCAGCAAAUUGUUAAUUAAACAAUCAAGGAAUCGGAUUAAUGUGAUAAGGAGAAAGAGAAAUUCAACAAAGAAGUUUCUUAAGCAAGACACCAUUGAUCUGCUUGCGAAUCAUUUACAGAUUGCUUACAAUAGACUGAAAUUUGAUGGGUUUAGAAGGAUCAAAACAAUGAAGUUUUGAAUGCAAGUGAACCUUGGAGCAAGAAAAAGCUUUCUUCCUUAGCAAGUGAGAACAAAUUUUUGGCAGUAAAGCUAAAGCAGGCGGCAAAUGGUAUUUUUCCAGAAUCUAAUGCUUCGUCGAUGAAUGACUAUGAGGAUCUUUACUUGGUGAUUAAUAUGAAUGAAGGCCAGGAAGCUUCUGGAUGAGAGUAUAGGGAGGUUAAUAAAAAGAAGAAAAGAAAGUGGAGAGCUUGGUGGAGGGUUAUUGGGAGAAUUGCUGGAAGCAAAAGGAAAAUACCAACUCUCUGAUUCUCAGGUUUCUUAUAAUCUCAUUGGUGUUAUCUGCCACUGCACAUGACACCACUGCAACUGCUCUUUACGAGAAACGUUGAGAAGUGCAAGCAUACUAUCAUUCACAUUCAGAGAAGUAGUGGAAGAUGUGGAGCUUCAAGAUUACUACAUUCCCAAAGGCUGGAAGGUCCUUCCACUCUUCAGAAGCAUUCACCAUUCUGCUGAUUUCUUCCCUCAACCACACAAAUUCGACCCCUCACGCUUCGAGACCAACCUCUACUAUCAUCAUGAACACAUAAAUGUAACAAAACCUCCCAAGAUGAACGUGUUUGUGUUGGAAGAACAAUAAAGAAUAAGAAGGUGCAGGAGGCAAAGCUCACCAGGGAUGAUAGGUUCUUUAUUUUUGAUCCAACCCAUCAGUUCCAAGAUAAGAAGCUGACUAUUCAAGAUAAGCAUCAUGAUGAUGAUGAUGGUGAUUCAUGCAUUGAUGGUUCUAGUUCUACACCUAGGGUCUCCUCUGAAUGGAGGAGCUCCAUUCAUUUCAAGGAUUCUGAGACAGAAGAAGCAUUGUCUUCAUCAUCUAGAAGAAGUUGUCCCAAGUGGGAAUCAUAUACUUUGUUCCAAAAAUAUCAUGAAGAAAUGUCCAUCUUAGACAGAAUUAGUGCACAGAAACUUGAGGAAACAGAGUAUUUAGGAUCCAUGGAAGCCUCUCCAAGAUCAAUUUCAGAUCGUAUUGCAUCAAUACCCGAAUUGAAGGACAUGGCUGCUGCAAGCAAGUGUGUGAGAUUGAUGAGGUGAUUGAAAUCAGUCCUUGGCUUGUGUGUGUCUGGAUCAAUACCCAUCUGCAGAAGCUUCUUCCUUAUGUGAGUGUUCCAGAAAUUCUUUAUCUCGUUAUCAGUUCUUCCUGGAAGAUGGCUUGCAAUCUUUGACCUGCCAUGGCUGGCGCCACGAGGCUGAUAGCGGUUGUCCUGCCAGCACAGCACAGCAAUUCCAGCAAUUUCAGGUAUUGCUGCAGAGAUACAUUGAUGGCGAGAGUACGCAUCAAGAGGACUAUCGGGGUAAACAUCAUUUGGUUGCAACCAACGAAAUGAAAUUCUGCUUGGAUGCUUCCCCAAAACAUAAGCUUAUUUCUAAGUUCAAGAGGGGUACAUUUACUCCUUGCAGAUGGGAUGCAAAUCAGAUGUGGAAGCUAAAUCCAAAUGGGACCAUGGUAAAAAAUUACUCCAGUCUAUGUGUAAUACCAUGGUAAAAAACGAGUGUGCAGCCGUUUUAUAUCAUAUUCCAGGUUUAUUGGUUAUUGUGAUUCUAGAUCAUUAUCUUCCUAAGAGGUUCAGAUUGUACUUCUGAUGUUUGGUUUUCUUGGCUACAUGUUGUGCAUUUCAAAGAGACACAAUUCAAGCUGUGACAAGUUUUGCCAAACGGAAUAAAUUGCCUGUUCUCAUGCAAGAACAGAUGAUUGCACAUUUGCAUAUGAAGUACAGAACUGAUAUAGAAGGGCUGCAGCAGCAAGAGUUUAAAUACAUAUUCAUAUUCCGUUUAAAUACAUUAUUAGAUAUUAAGAUAGUUUAGGGAAUUAGAUGGUAGAUUUGACUGAUUAGUGUUUAUUGCAAUGCUUGUAUUUUGGUAAGUUUAGUAAGACAAGGUUUUGUAUAGGAGUUAUUACUUUUGAUUUUCAAUAAUAAAAAAUUAUAUAUUAUAUUAA